AUUCCGGUUGAUCCUGCCGGAGGCCAUUGCUAUUGGGAUCCGAUUUAGCCAUGCUAGUCGCACGAGUUCAGACUCGUGGCGAAUAGCUCAGUAACACGUGGCCAAACUACCCUUCGGAACACAAUACCCUCGGGAAACUGAGGCUAAUAGUGUAUACCAUACCACCACUGGAAUGAGUGGUAUGCCAAACGCUCCGGCGCCGAAGGAUGUGGCUGCGGCCGAUUAGGUAGACGGUGGGGUAACGGCCCACCGUGCCAAUAAUCGGUACGGGUCAUGAGAGUGAGAACCCGGAGACGGAAUCUGAGACAAGAUUCCGGGCCCUACGGGGCGCAGCAGGCGCGAAACCUUUACACUGCACGACAGUGCGAUAGGGGGAUCCCAAGUGCACAGGCAUAGCGCCUGUGCUUUUCGGCACCCUAAGGCGGUGCCAGAAUAAGGGCUGGGCAAGACCGGUGCCAGCCGCCGCGGUAAUACCGGCAGCCCAAGUGAUGGCCGAUCUUAUUGGGCCUAAAGCGUCCGUAGCUGGCCGCGCAAGUCCAUCGGGAAAUCCACCUGCUCAACAGGUGGGCGCCCGGUAGAAACUGCGUGGCUUGGGACCGGAAGGCGCGACGGGUACGUCCGGGGUAGGAGUGAAAUCCCGUAAUCCUGGACGGACCGCCGAUGGCGAAAGCACGUCGCGAGAACGGAUCCGACAGUGAGGGACGAAAGCCAGGGUCUCGAACCGGAUUAGAUACCCGGGUAGUCCUGGCCGUAAACAAUGUCUGCUAGGUGUGGCUCCCACUACGAGUGGGUGCUGUGCCGUAGGGAAGCCGCUAAGCAGACCGCCUGGGAAGUACGUCCGCAAGGAUGAAACUUAAAGGAAUUGGCGGGGGAGCACUACAACCGGAGGAGCCUGCGGUUUAAUUGGACUCAACGCCGGACAUCUCACCAGCAUCGACUGU
rnacentral:rRNA from 1 species